GGGGGAGGAUAUAGGAGAAUGUGGUUGUACAGAUGUCUGUAAAAACAAAAGGAAAAGAAAGGAAAGAAGAUAACGAAAAAAAGCCAAGUAAAAAGUGAAGAAUAAGAGCUAAGAGAAGAAUGGCUGGCAAGAAAUACGGAGAGAGCAAUGCACAGCAUUGCGAAGGAAAGCCAGGCAAGAGUAGCAGCAAAAAGCAGGAGAAUCCAGACGAAUUCCGUGAAGAGCAGGAGAGAUGAUGGCGCUGAUGCUCCUUAUCCCGAGGAUUGGGUGGAUACUGCUUUUGUGCCUCAGGGGAACCCCAGAGUGGGAAAGCAGCCCUUGCCACUCUUUGGAGGAGAGAAGCUCUACGUUUGCCGUUUGGACCAUGUCUUUCCCCGACCUGCCAGCAGUCCUCGCAGGUCCUCUCGGUGAAGUACCAAAGCGGAGUCCUGUUGCUGAGCCUGGGCUGGAUGCCAGAGAAAGAGGCAUGGAGAAUUGGAGAAUAUCCGCAGAGGCUCUGCCAUGUCCUGAAGGAAAUGGUGGAGGAGAAGGCAGCACAAGGUGGGUGUCUUUGUGUCUGUUCACUGAAAGACUGGGGAAGUGGAGUUUCUAGAUAGAUACAUGGAUGGGAUGCAGGUGCUGGGAUGUGCUGGGAUGGGGCUGGGAUGUGCUGGGAUGGUGCAGGGAUGGUAUGGGAUGGUGUGAGAUGAUGCUGUGAUUUGAUGGGGUGGUGCUGGGAUGUGCUGGGAUGUUCUGGGAUGGUGCAGGAAAGGUGUAGGAUGGUGCUGGGUUGUGCUGGGAUGUCCUGGGAUGGUUCUGGGAUGUCCUUGGAUGGUGCUGGUAUGGGGCUGGCAUGUGCUGGGACGGUGCUGGGACGUACUGGGUUGUGCUGGGAUGGUGUAGGAAGGUGUGGAAUUGUGUGGGACGUGCUGGGUUGUGCUGGGAUGGGGCUGGGAUAUUUUUGGAUAGUACUGGGAUGUGCUGGGAUGGUGUGGGCUGCAGCUGGUGUGGUGCUGGGUUGUGCUGUGGGAUGGUGCUGCGAAGUGGUGGAAUGUUCUGUGAUGCAGCUGCUGGGAUGAGAUGUGCUGGGAUGUUCUGUAAUGGUGUGGGAUGUGCUUGAAUGGUGCUUAGAUGGUGCUGGGAUGGGCUGGGACGUGCUGGGAUGUUACUGGGAUGUGGCUGGGAUGCGCUGUGAUGGUGCUUGGAUGUGGUGGGAUGGGUCUGGGAUGUGAUGGAAUGGUCUAGGAUGGUGCUGGGAUGGUGCUGGGUUGUUGUGGCAUAUGGUGGGGUGUUCUGGGAUUGGGCUGGGCUGGUGCUGGGCUGGUGUGGGAUGAUGCUGGCAUGUGCUGGAAUGGUGCUGGGAUGUGCUGGGUUGUUCUGGGAUGGUGCUGGGAAGGUGUAGGAUGGUUCUGGGAUAUGUUGGGAUGCAGUGGGCUGGUGCUGGGAUGUCCUGUGAUGGUGCUGGUAUGGGACUGGGAU